CGUACAUCAGCUGAUAUCUCAAAGUGCUGUACAGAAACCCAGCCUAAAACCCCAAACAGCAAGCAAUGCAGGUGUAGAAGCACGGUGGCUAGGAAAAACUCCCUAGAAAGGCCAAAACCUAGGAAGAAACCUAGAGAGGAACCAGGCUAUGUGGGGUGGCCAGUCCUCUUCUGGCUGUGUCGGGUGGAGAUUAUAACAGAACAUGGCCAAGAUGUUCAAAUGUUCAUAAAUGACCAGCAUGGUCGAAUAAUAACAAGGCAGAACAGUUGAAACUGGAGCAGCAGCACAGUCAAGUGGACUGAGGACAGCAAGGAGUCAUCAUGUUAGGUAGUCCUGGGGCACGGUCCUAGGGCUCAGGUCCUCCGAGAGAAAGAAAGAAAGAGAGAAUUAGAGAGAGCAUAUGUGGGGUGGCCCGUCCUCUUCUGGCUGUGCCGGGUGGAGAUUAUAACAGAACAUGGCCAAGAUGUUCAAAUGUUCAUAAAUGACCAGCAUGGUCGAAUAAUAGUAAGGCAGAACAGUUGAAACUGGAGCAGCAGCAUGGCCAGGUGGACUGGGGACAGCAAGGAGUCAUCAUGUCAGGUAGUCCUGGGGCAUGGUCCUAGGGCUCAGGUCCUCCGAGAGAGAGAAAGAAAGAAGGAGAGAAUUAGAGAACGCACACUUAGAUUCACACAGGACACCGAAUUAGGACAGGAGAAGUACUCCAGAUA